rnacentral:rRNA from 1 species
GCCCGCUCAGAAACUUAAAGGAAUUGACGGGACCCCGCACAAGCGGUGGAUCAUGUUGUUUAAUUCGAUGAUACGCGAAGAACCUUACCAGGUCUUGACAUCCCCCCGCGAUGCUUUAGAGAUAAAGCGGAGGUAUUCGGGAGACAGGUGGUGCAUGGUUGUCGUCAGCUCGUGUCGUGAGAUGUUGGGUUAAGUCCCGCAACGAGCGCAACCCCUAUUGCUAGUUACCAUCAUUAAGUUGGGGACUCUAGCGAGACUGCCAGUGAUAAACUGGAGGAAGGUGGGGAUGACGUCAAAUCAUCAUGCCCCUUAUGAUCUGGGCUACACACGUGCUACAAUGGCCGGUACAACGGGCAGCGAAGGAGCGAUCCGGAGCGAAUCCUAAAAAGCCGGUCCCAGUUCGGAUUGCAGGCUGAAACUCGCCUACAUGAAGUUGGAGUUGCUAGUAAUCGCGAAUCAGAAUGUCGCGGUGAAUGCGUUCCCGGGUCUU